GUGCUCCCUCUGAAAGCUCCAGGUAAGGGUCUUUCUGUGCCCCUGCAGAUUCUAGAAGCCUUCUAUGUGCCUUAUCUUGCAACUGCUCCACUCUGCCUUUGCCUGUACUUUCUCACAACAUCUCCUGUAUGCUUUUGUCUCAUAAGGACACCAGUCACACUAUGUUAAGGGCUCAACAUGCUCCAGUAUGGCUUUAUCAUAACUUACCUAUCUGUAAGUUUCCCAGCCACAUUCUGAGGAACUGAGAGUUCCAACUCCAGUAUAAUUUGUAGGAUCAUAAUUUAAGCCAUUACAGAAGUCAUCUCCACCCUUACCCUGAAAAAAUACAGAGGCUAGUAGAGCCCCAUGCUGUGCUCAUCCACCUCAGCUCAUCUACUUUGGUCUGUGUUCCUCAUUCACAUAGCUCCUAUCCUGACUUUCUGGACCCUCUACUUUGUUCUGGUUAUACAAGGGUUCUAAGCCAGCUGUCUACCCCCUUUCCCUUUUCCUACCAAUAGCAGAAAAAUCUAAUUCUUGAAGUCCCUCCCUCCUUGCCAACACACCACUUGGAAGCAUCCCCAGCUUUGAUCUUAGCCCUCUACACCUCCUUCUCCAUUUCCAUGCUCUGUAGCCGUUCCUUCAGUUCUGUGCCUGGUCCUGACCUUUACCCUCAGAUCUUAGGUGACACCAGGGCCAGACAUAUGGGUCACAUCUGCUAUCAUUACUCAGAACCAAGGGCCAGGAAGUACAAGUGCGGCCUGCCCCAGCCGUGUCCUGAGGAGCACCUGGCCUUUCGCAUAGUCAGCGGGGCUGCCAAUGUCAUCGGGCCCAAGAUCUGCCUCGAGGACAAGAUGUGAGCAUAUGGGCUGGGAAGUGGGAGGGGAACCUGAGGCCAAGUCUGUAAAGGCCAAGGCCUGAUGGUUGUGUGAGGAAGAGCAAAGAUGAUAUGCGCACAAGAGAUCUUCUUCCCCCCUGCUAGGCUCAUGAGCAGCAUCAAGGACAAUGUGGGCCGUGGACUGAACAUCGCCCUGGUGAAUGGGGUCAGUGGUGAGCUCCUAGAAGCCAGAGCCUUUGACAUGUGGGCUGGAGAUGUCAAUGAUCUCUUGAAGUUCAUCCGGCCGUUGCAUGAAGGUACCUUGGUGUUUGUGGCAUCCUAUGAUGAUCCAGCUACCAAGAUGAAUGAAGAGACCAGGAAGCUUUUUUCUGAGCUGGGCAGCAGGAAUGCCAAGGAGCUAGCCUUCCGUGACAGCU
rnacentral:lncRNA from 1 species